AUGAGGAGAUGGGAAGAGGUUAAGCCAAUAAAGGCCAUAUAAAAUGGCAAAUGAAAAUGGGGGUAAUACUAAGGAACAGAACUCUAGGGAAAAGAUACACAGAUAGGAAAAGACUGAGCAAAAGGUAAAACAAGAGAUCGGUAGAGCACA